CUAAGAAGCCCAGCACGGUCCAGUCAGUGAAUGGAAGCGAUUUAUCUUCAGGCCAGAGUUGGAGCAGAUCAGAAAACGAAGGCCCAGGAAGGGUGUCUUUCCCCAGCUCAUACAUCUAGGCCUAGAAUUUACAGUACUAAUGGUUAACUUGGUGGUCAUUUUGCUAUAUGCCAGUGCAAUGUGAAAUUCUGAAGAACUGAAAUAACAGAGGGGCUUUCUUUCAUUCAUUCGUUCAUUACCAUAAGGUAAGGCAAAAAGUAUUUUACUGGGAUUUUAGAACCUGGGUUCAAAUCCUAGUUUGGCUACUAUCUAUGUGACCUUGGGUAAGCCACCUAAGUCUCAGUUUCCUCACUUGAUAAAUGAGUUGGCCUGGAUGGCCUUUAAGGAAGGUCUCUUUUAACUCUCAAUGAUACCCAAUAAACAGUUACUGAUCCUUUACUGUAUGUGUGUAAAAGCAAGGUGUUAAUCAUCUUUAAACCUGUUUUCAAAAACUGCCAAAUUGACACUAAUUAUGAACAAUAAUCCUUCCCUUACUUGAAAAUGAGUGUGAAGCAGUUACAGAGAAAGCUUACACCCAGAAAUGCUCUCUUCUGUCGUUUAGAAAGGAACAAAAAUUCUCCUGUUCCAGGAUAAAACUAUGUUCAAAAUGAAAACUCUCUCUUGUUUAGCGUCCCCUUGACUGAGACUUCUCGGAAGGAUGCUGGAAUUUGUGAGUUUGGAGAUAACCAAGCUAGACAACACUCUCAAUAUAGAAAUAAGAAAUAAAAAGAGGAUGAGCUCAAACAAAUCACAUCUGGUCAAUGAAUUUAAACAAACAGAGCAACAAGACACUAGACAGUCUAAACCUUCAACCAACAGAAUGAAGGUAGGGAACUGUCAUCCCUUCACUUUUUGACUUUAUAUCGCCUGCUCUCUGACACUCCCUUGUUAAAAUGAGCCAGGACAAAGCCUAAACUUGAAUUUAUUGUGAUCCAUUCUAGGGGAAAACCAGUAGAAGUAAAAUAUACUCUGAUGAAGUACAGACUGCUAAGUUUUAAAGGCUACAGAAUCAAUAACACCUACCAAUUCACAGGCAACAUAAAUAAAACCCUAAAAAACGGAACUCAAGACUACCCCAAUUAGAAUGCUGAAACUUAAUAAGCUUUAAAAAAAAAUACAAAACAAAAUCUAAUUUAGUCCUUUGCAUGAUUAGUUCAAAUUGGUGAUUCACAUCACAAAACCUCUCUAAAUGUAGAAGGAUUAAUAAGGGCAGAGAAAUGAGGAAGGACACACCAGAGUAAAAAGAUCGUUUUAAUAAAGCAUGGAAAGCAGCUGAUUUCACAGAUCAUUAGAAAUCCCCAUUUAAAAAAAAAUAAAAUCAGCACAGAGUAGGUACAGGUUCUCACACUGCAGUUAUCUAUUUGUAGCCUGGAGUGUUUGGGGUCAUUAACAAGAACAUUAUGUUACUGUGAAACCAAAUAAAGAUGAUGUAUAACAAUUCCUGCUGGGAUA